UGGGGGAUAUUGCACAAUGGAGGGAACUCUGAUGCAGCGAUGCCGCGUGAGGGAAGAAGGUUUUCGGAUUGUAAACCUCUGUGGAGGGGGACGAUAAUGACGGUACCCCUUUAGGAAGCCACGGCUAACUACGUGCC
rnacentral:rRNA from 1 species